ensembl:lncRNA
UUUAACACACACAGACAAAUAGUAUGAGAUUGCAUACGUAAUUGUGAAAGCAGAUUUUUAUAGAAAUUCAAUAAAAAUCCACUUUGCACCUCAUAAUCUUUUUAAAAUCAAUUACGAUUUGUGCAUUUAUUUGCUUUUAACUUUCUAAAUAUAUAUAAGAUCAUAUAUAUUUAAGAUAGAGCUGUUAUUUGAAGCAACAGUGUUAUUUCUUUUAACACCGUUGGAUGGUUGAAUUAUUAUAUCUCAGUGGCUUCAAUGAGCUAACAUAAAUCAUUAGAAUAUGAUUUGCUUUGCUUUAUGAAACCAGUUUUUUUGGGGGGAGGGCGGAGAUUUGCCUAGAAACAGUUUUUGAGAUGUGGCUUCAUAGAUGUAAAAUUCACCUCAGUGUAUCAACGUUCUGAUUUUUUGUUUGGAUGGUAAUUGUGACCCAUUAAAGAUCCCAGAGCACAGGGAUUUUCCUCAAAAAAAAGCCUAAUAGACUCUUGUGCUGAUCAAAGUGAGAGUAGUUAGGAAUUUGGCAAAUAUUCUUUAAUAAUUUAGUUUUCACACAACGGCACUGUUAGCCUUUUUUUUUUUUUCUUUUGCCUGAACUCAUGUAUUUUCAGCCCAUCCAUGGCUGUACAGUUCUUAAAAGCUAAAGAUAAAUUUUUUUAAUAGUUACUUUCCCAGUACAAUUUUUUUUUCUACUGUACAGCAUGGUGACCCAGUCACACAUACAUGUCCACAUUCUAUUUUCACACAUUAUGCUCCAUCAUAAGGGACUAGACAUAGUUCCCAGCGCUACGCAGCAGGGUCAUUUUGGUGGUGUGGAGUUUCUGCAGCUUUGCCUUUUAUACUUUUGAUAGCUCUAAAAAGAUUUAGUGGCUUUAAAAAUUGUUUUACUUGAGAAUGUUGGCGUAGCAACAGGAUCGUUAUUUAAACAAUUAUAUGUUCCAGAGCUGACUGUUACUCUUGAAGUCACUAAUAGAAAUUAGAUUACAGGUAUUGAUUACUUGUGGUAACACUGCAUAUUCGAAUAUUUUGGGGGGGGAAUGGAGAUAUCUAAUGACAUAUAUUCAUUUCAUUGUGAAACUAUCCUUUUUAAAUAAGUACUUCAAAUUGUUUUAAAAUUGGUAAUGAUAAAAAUGAAGCAAUAAAGAGGAGGAAGGAUGUUUUAUGACUCUUUCCAGAAGUUUGAAGAAGUCCUUAGUAAGUUUAUAGACUUAAGAAGUUCUGUGAAGGAUAAUGUUUUUCUCAAAAGAGUGUUUGACCUGAUUGGAGGUGGAGUGUAGAAAACCAGAGUAAGAAGUAGAGGGAGGGUCAAGCGGUCCUGCGUUUAAAACUAAGGGAUUGGGGAGCUCCCCUCGUGGCACAGCGGAAAUGAACCUGACUGGCAUCCGUGACGCAUGUUCGAUCCCUGGCCUCACUCAGUGGGUCGGGAGCCGCGGUAUAGGUCGCAGCUUCGGCUUGGGUCUGGCAUUGCUGUGGCUGUAGCACAGGCCAGCAGCUGCAGCUCUGAUUUGAUCCCUAGCCUGGAACUUCCAUAUGCCAUGGGUGUGGCCCUAAAAAAAGUACCCAGAAAAUUUAAGAGCUUGGGAUUUCCCUUGUGGCACAGCAGAUUAAGGAUCCGGCAUUGUCACUACAGCCACUUAAGUCCCUGCUGUGGUGCAGGUUCCAUUCCUAGCCCAGGAACUACCACAUGCAUGGUCGUGGCCAAAAAAAUAAAAACUAAGAGCUUAGAACAUUCAAUUGAUUAAAUUUCCAAUGUCCUAUUUUAUGUAGCCAAAAUCUACGUGCAGUGGCUAGCAUUUUAAUUCCAGCAAGCCUAAGAAACAGAAUGACCACAUUUGCUGCUAUUGGAGGUGAACAAGUUUUGUUUAAAUUUACGUAUAUGAUGGAGUUCCUCUUGUGGCUCAGAGGUAAUGAACCUAACUGGUAUCCAUGAGGAUACGAGCUCGAUCCCUGGCCUUGCUCAGUGGGUUAAGGAUCUGGCAUUGCUGUGACUGCAGCAUAGGCCAGCAGCUGCAGCUCUGAUUCGACCCCUAGCCUGGGAACUUCCAUAUGCCAUGGGUGUGGCCCUAAAAAGCAAUCAAUCAAUAAAUAAAUUUACAUCCAUGCUGAAGUUGAAAAAUGAGAGCUUUGUAGGAUUUGCCAUAGACCCUUGGGACUAAGCAUCCGGUGAAAGUCCCAACCACUACACCACCAGGGAACUUCCAGUUACACCCUUCUGCUUGGGAGCAGCUUUUAUACUGAUGAAAGCCCAAGGCUUGUAGUACAGGCAGAAUCGAAGUGCAUGUAUUCCCUUUUUACCGUGUACCAUUACAGGGGACUGUUACCUAAUUAUGUUUGAUCUUGGAAGUGGUGGGAAUAUUAAUUCCUCCUGAAAAAUGGUUUUGUCGCUAGAAGAAGAGCUUCAAAUAUCUAUUGUACUUAAAAAUCAUUUGGAGAAUGAUUUUUUUUGUUUGUUUUGUUUUUUGGCCAUGCCCGUGGCAUUUGCAAGUUCCUGGGCCAGAAAUUGAACCUCUGCCACAGCAGAGACCCAAGCUGCUGCAGUGACAAUGCCAUAUCCUUAACCCAAUGCACCACAUGGGAAAUCCACCUAUGUGAUAUUUUUGAAUGGAAAAAAAUUAGUGAUUCUCCCUCGUUGAGGAAAGUUUCCCUUCAUCUGCCAGUUGAAUUUCACUACCAGCAAUGAAAGGAUAUUUGACAAAAGUUUUUAGGUUGAACAGGUCCACCGCAGAAAUGAUGUGAGAAGUUUCCAGAAAGUAUUCUCAACUAACUCUCCAGUUAAUCAAAGUGGUUUUCAGUUUAGUUUAUAAAUUUUGGGUGAUAGUUUUCAAACACGGUGUAGUAAAUACUUGAAUUCUCACUAUACGAUUUUAUGCGUGCUUUCAAAAUCCAGACACAAGUGUCUAGAUAAAUAGAUGUUCUAGAAGAAACUUGGCACUCUCUUGUUGAUGUGCAUCUUCUCAUUAGGUAGAAUUCAGUGAACAUUAUUCAGAAAUGAAACUCACGUGUAUGCAAACAUAUUUACUCUCCUUUAGAGAACCUCCUAAAAGGUUCAAUACACAGAAGGUCAAAUGUAAGUAACAUUUAACAAAUAUACCACUAGUGGUGAGAGGCACUGGGAUGUUUAACGGUGGAUUCAACUAGAGCCUGCCCUGAAGAGCUUUAUGUUCUUUGAGAGGCUGAACGUGUAGAGACAGCCUAUGUGGUAGACAUAAUAGCAGCAGUAGCUCUCAUUUACUGUACCAGACUCUGUUCUAAGCUUUUUAUUUAUCCUCUCACUUUAUUUGAAUUAUGUAAGUGGCUUAUUAACUCUUUACUUCUUACAGCAACGUUGUAAAGUAAGUAUAAUAAUUAUUCUAGAUGAGGAAACCGAAGCACAGAAAGGUUAGGUGCAUUUUUCUAAAGUCAUACAGCUAGGGAGUAGCAGGCCAUGUGACCUUGGUUUGGUUACAGGUUACAUGCUGUAAACUACAGUGUUUUAUUGAUUCUUGAAAGAAAGCAGUGAGCACUCAUAGGAAUGAUUUUUCUCUCUUUUUUAGGGCCGCACCCGAGGCAUAUGGAGGUUCCCAGGCUAAGGGUCGAAUCAGAUCUGCAGCUGCUGGCCUACACCACAGCCACAGCAACUCCGGAUCCAUAACCCACUGAGCACGGCCGGGGAUUGAACCUGCCUCUUCAUGGAUGCUCGUCAGAUUCAUUAACCACUGAGCCACAAAAGGAACUCCAGGAAUGAUUUUCUAAACCAGAUGUCUUUUGAGGAGUCAUCACCUGCAAAUGGUCAUAAAAUCUGGAUUUACGUUUAUAUCAUUUUUGAUUUUUCUGGCCCUGGAGAGUUUCGCGAUGUUAUCUAAUAAGCCGAACUGAAUAUGAAGUGGAAAGAUUCCUUCUUGUGGCUCUGAAGCUAGGGACAAAGGGGGGAAUCUACCAGAAGGGGAAAAAUGUCUACUAAAAACGUAAAAAUUAUGCUGGCCUAGGCAGAUGCAGAGGAUGAACUGCUUUGGGAUUCCCAAAUGUCCUGUGUGUCUGGGGAAUAGCUGACCAGGAUGAGGGGGUCAGGAGAGCUGGGAGUCAGCUCUGCGUGGGGGCAGAUUUGUAUUAGACUUUGUACUGUUUUUAAAACAAUCGAUAUUUGCAGUAAAAGAUGUGUGUCUGUCCUGCUUUCUUGUAAUUAGGGAUGGAAGAAAGGACAUUCAUUAUCUCAUUUUUUAAAACUUAAUGAUAGACGUUUUCACACCUACAGAAAAAUGGGACAGAACAGUAAACCCCAUGUACCCAUCAUGUAGAUUCAACGAUUAACCAACAUUCAGCCAAUUUUAUUUCACUUGUUCCUCUCCCUCCGUCUUUUCUGGAGUAUCUUAGAGCUAAUUCUGAUCAUCGUUAUUGCAUCCACACGUGUUUCAGUGACAUGUCUUCUAAGUGGUGAGGACUCUUAAAUACCGUUACCACACUGUGAAAUAAACAAAGCAGUAGUGUCAGAGGGCCACUCAGUGUGCAGAUCCCCCGAAGCCCGACGCGUGCCUUAUUUGUAGUUGAUUUGUUCAAGCCGAGAGCUCAACAAGGUUUACACACACACUGUGGUUGGUUGAUAGGUCUCUUAAAUUUCUCUAAAUCUGUAGUCGUUCCCUGUUCUCUCCUUUUUUCCCUUGCCAUUUAUUCAUUGAAAAAAGGGGCGGGGGCAUAUGUUUUGUAGCACAUUUCGGAUUUGGCCGAUCACAUCCUUCUAGUAAUCUGUGUCCCACAUUGCCUUGUACCUCCUGGUAAUUGGCAGUUUGGUACAGAGGCUUUGAUCACAUAGAGAUUCAAGUUUUUGGCAAGAGCACCUCAGAGGUGGUGCUUUGUAUUUUUUGGUCACAUCACAUCAGGAGCCUGUGACUUCUGGUUGCAGCUCUUGUUAAGAUUGAUCAGUGGGUUGCAGUGCUCAAGGGUGAUUCAAAUGGAAUAGAGUUCCUCAUCAGCCUUUCACCUGAUGCUUCUGGCUACCAUCAGUGAUUUUCGUCUAGAUUGUUUACUUCUUUAGGGCCUGGUUAACUUGUGUUUCUAAGCGUCUGUGGGCUCUGCACAUGGUUGCUGUAGUCGGCCAAGAAACAGAGUUUGUGCUUGGGGUGUCCUGUCGCAUUCACAUUCUCGCACGGAUCAUCUGUGACGCCUGCACCAGUGCCGAGGGAUAUGAAGAUGUGUCUGUGUGCCCACACACGCACACAAACAUUUAUCAACUUUUCCGUAUUCCGGGAUACCUGUCUUUUCUUCAUACCCUCAAACUUGAGUUGACCUAAUUACUAAUUGGGGUUCUUUUAAACUUUUAAAAACCUCUUGAUCUCUGAAGACAAUAAAAAGCCAUGUCACAUAAUAAUUCUCGACAGUUUUUGGUGAAGUUGAAGAACAGUGGGUGUGAGACCAGUUCUGCCAAAUUAAGGUCCGUCCCAAACCGGAUUCCAGCUUUGCUUGUUAAUUUAUAUUCAGUGCUUAGAUUGCUCAGCUCCUUCAGGCAUUACCCUCCCAGGACUUGGGAACCAGAGUCAGACAUCGAAAGGCAGUUUGAUGAGAAUGAGAGUCAGUAAGAGUUGUUCUCAUCCAGGAUACAAAAAGGCCUGGUGAACGGCUGGUCUUCCAGUUAGCAAGUACCUUCUCCGUGACUGGUGUGUUCUUGUCCGACAGGCGUCAGUGUUCACCUUCCAGUAGUAACACCUCCCCAUUUCGCCACCCUGUUCAGCCCCCGUCCUGUAACUGCACAAUUAACGUCGUGAUGCUCUGACCCCUAUUUGACCUUGCACAAUUUGUAAAUCCCGAAUCCGAGAAAUUUCAGUCAGGGUACACUCCCUUCCUGUAUGUUCAGGAAAUAGGGCACAGCCUUUCCUCUUUGAGUGCCAUUUACCCUCUUGAUUAAUCUCAGAUUCUAACCUUUCAAAAGCCUUAAUUUAUAGAAUACAGUUAUGGGCAAAAACAGUACUUAAUUGUGUCCAUUAAGAAAUGGAAGUGAUGGAGUUCCCGUCGUGGCACAGGGGUUAACGAAUCUGACUAGGAACCAUGAGGUUGCAGGUUCCAUCCCUGGCCUUGCUCAGGGGGUUAAGCAUCCGGCCUUGCUGUGAGCAGACACGGCUCGGAUCUCGCAUUGCCGUGGCUCUGGCGUAGGCAGGCGGCUACAGCUCCGAUUGGACCCCUAGCCUGGGAACCUCCAUAUGCUGCCGGAGCAGCCCUAGAAAUCGCAAAAAGACAAAAA